CCAAACCCUUCGCCUUUCUUUUGAAUCAAAGUAGGUCGCGACUGUUGUAUUUUAGUCGGUCGGGUGAAGCGGUAGCUUCGUGCUCCGCUUCUCUCGCGCUUGCUUGCGUGAAGGCUUAGAGCCCUUUUCGCUAGGCCCAAAAGCUUCCCAAAAGAUCUGAUCCAACAGAAAUCCCGCAUUGAGCGUAGCUGAUAUGCGGCUACGGCUAGCCGAUCAUAUCAUUCCAUA
rnacentral:lncRNA from 1 species